rnacentral:misc_RNA from 1 species
AGCUCUUCUUCUAUCUCCCUUGCCCAAUACGCUUAAUUAAAAACACUUUUUAAUCCCCCAAUAUGGCUACAAAUUACAUUUCUGCCACUGUUUCUUCGAUCUUAUUGUUCCUAUUGUGUUCUUCUUCUCUCUUCGGAUCUUCCAUGGCUGCUCUAGUUCAGGAACAACCUCUUGUUCUUAAAUACCACAACGGUGCUCUUCUUAAAGGAACCGUCACCGUGAAUCUCGUAUGGUACGGUAAGUUUACCCCUGCCCAACGGUCUAUAAUAGUUGAUUUCCUUCAAUCGUUAAAUUCCCCAAAAGCCCCAAAUCCUUCAGCUGCUUCCUGGUGGAAAACUACUGAGAAAUAUAAAACUGGUGCCUCCACUGUUACCCUAGGAAAGCAAAUUCUCGAUGAAAAUUGUUCGUUAGGAAAAUCUCUUAAAAAUUCACAUAUUGUGUAUUUGGCUUCGAAGGGUGGUUACAUGGGUAGGUCGGUGAACUUAGUGUUGACGGCGAAGGAUGUAUUUGUGGAAGGAUUUUGUAGUAGAUGCGGGUCCCAUGGUUCAACUCGGGGUAAAGUCCGUUUUACUUACGCUUGGGUUGGUAACUCGGAGAUUCAAUGCGCCGGUCAGUGUGCGUGGCCGUUUCAUCAGCCUAUCUACGGCCCACAAACACCGCCUUUGGUUGCGCCGAACGGCGACGUCGGCGUUGACGGUAUGAUCAUCAACGUGGCAACGGUUUUGGCGGGAACCGUAACGAAUCCGUUUAACAAUGGAUACUUUCAGGGUCCUGCGACGGCACCGCUGGAGGCUGUUUCGGCUUGUACCGGUAUGUUUGGGUCGGGUUCUUAUCCUGGAUAUCCGGGUCAAACUUUGGUUGAUAAGAGUACGGGUGCUAGCUAUAAUGCGCAUGGGGUUAAUGGGCGUAGGUUCUUGCUCCCUGCGAUGUGGGACCCAACUAAAUCUGCAUGCUCGACACUAGUUUGAGAGUGAAAAAAAAAUCAGAGGGAGAUAAGAAGAACAGAAGAGGGUGGUGGGAUUGGGUGUGGAUGAGUCUACGUAUGUCCACUGUACCAUCAUGAUAAGAUGGACUGAGGAAUGGCAAGUGUGGGGGUGGGUGGGUGUCGUUUUGUAUGACUGUAUAUUCCUUUGCUUUUAUGUUUUUAAAAAUUUGUAAAAUCCAAUAAUUAUAGGACUAUAAUUAAUGAUAAUAUGAUCUAUAAU